AAGUCGUAACAAGGUUUCCGUAGGUGAACCUGCGGAAGGAUCAUUACUUGAGAGGGAGGGCUUCGCGCUCCCCGGGGGGUUCUUGGGCCCCCCAACUCUUCACCCCAUUGUUUCAUCUACCUCUGUUUGCUUUGGGCGGGCCUUGGGGUUCGCCCCCGCGCCGGCUUUCGGGCUGGUGAGCGUCGUCAGUGGCCCAUUAAAUUCCGUUUAUUCAGUAUUAUCAGAUCAAAACACAAUAGUAAAAA
rnacentral:misc_RNA from 1 species